CGAGGGGUAUUAGUUUUCGGACUAAGAGACCGGCGCACGGGUGCGUAACGCGUAUGCAAUCUACCUUUUACAGAGGGAUAGCCCAGAGAAAUUUGGAUUAAUACCUCAUAGUAUAGCAGUUUCGCAUGAAACCACUAUUAAAGUCACAACGGUAAAAGAUGAGCAUGCGUCCCAUUAGCUAGUUGGUAAGGUAACGGCUUACCAAGGCUACGAUGGGUAGGGGUCCUGAGAGGGAGAUCCCCCACACUGGUACUGAGACACGGACCAGACUCCUACGGGAGGCAGCAGUGAGGAAUAUUGGACAAUGGGCGCAAGCCUGAUCCAGCCAUGCCGCGUGUAGGAUGACGGUCCUAUGGAUUGUAAACUGCUUUUGUACGAGAAGAAACACUCCUAUGUAUAGGAGCUUGACGGUAUCGUAAGAAUAAGGAUCGGCUAACUCCGUGCCAGCAGCCGCGGUAAUACGGAGGAUCCAAGCGUUAUCCGGAAUCAUUGGGUUUAAAGGGUCCGUAGGCGGUUUAGUAAGUCAGUGGUGAAAGCCCAUCGCUCAACGGUGGAACGGCCAUUGAUACUGCUGAACUUGAAUUAUUAGGAGGUAACUAGAAUAUGUAGUGUAGCGGUGAAAUGCUUAGAGAUUACAUGGAAUACCAAUUGCGAAGGCAGGUUACUACUAAUUGAUUGACGCU
rnacentral:rRNA from 1 species